GUGGGGAAUAUUGGACAAUGGGGGCAACCCUGAUCCAGCCAUGCCGCGUGAGUGAAGAAGGCCUUCGGGUUGUAAAGCUCUUUUGGCGGGGACGAUGAUGACGGUACCCGCAGAAUAAGCCCCGGCUAACUUCGUGCCAGCAGCCGCGGUAAGACGAAGGGGGCUAGCGUUGUUCGGAAUUACUGGGCGUAAAGGGCGCGUAGGCGGUCUUGUCAGUCAGGCGUGAAAGCCCUGGGCUCAACCUGGGAGGUGCGCUUGAUACUGCAAGGCUUGAGUGCAGGAGAGGAUGGUGGAAUUCCCAGUGUAGAGGUGAAAUUCGUAGAUAUUGGGAAGAACACCGGUGGCGAAGGCGGCCAUCUGGACUGCAACUGACGCUGAGGCGCGAAAGCGUGGGGAGCAAACAGGAUUAGAUACCCCGGUAGUCC
rnacentral:rRNA from 1 species